rnacentral:rRNA from 1 species
GACGGAGGGUGCUAGCGUUGUUCGGAAUCACUGGGCGUAAAGGGCGCGUAGGCGGCCUGCCGAGUCGGGUGUGAAAGCCCGGGGCUCAACCCCGGAACGGCACCCGAUACUGGCGGGCUCGAGACCGGGAGAGGAGGGUGGAAUACCCAGUGUAGAGGUGAAAUUCGUAGAUAUUGGGUGGAACACCGGUGGCGAAAGCGGCUCUCUGGCCCGGUUCUGACGCUGAGGCGCGAAAGCGUGGGGAUCAAACAGG